rnacentral:rRNA from 1 species
AUUGAACGCUGGCGGCAUGCUUUACACAUGCAAGUCGAACGGUAACAGGUUAAGCUGACGAGUGGCGAGCGGGUGAGUAAUGCAUCGGAACGUGCCCGAUCGUGGGGGAUAACGCAGCGAAAGCUGCGCUAAUACCGCAUACGAUCUGAGGAUGAAAGCGGGGGACCGUAAGGCCUCGCGCGAUCGGAGCGGCCGAUGUCAGAUUAGGUAGUUGGUGGGGUAAAGGCUCACCAAGCCAACGAUCUGUAGCUGGUCUGAGAGGACGACCAGCCAGACUGGGACUAGGACACGGCCCAGACUCCUUCGGGGGGCAGCAGUGGGGAAUUUUGGACAAUGGGCGAAUGCCUGAUCCAGCAAAGCCGCGUGCAGGAAGAAGGCCUUCGGGUUGUAAACUGCUUUUGUACGGAGCGAAAAGGCUCUCUCUAAUACAGGGGGCUCAUGACGGUACCGUAAGAAUAAGCACCGGCUAACUACGUGCCAGCAGCCGCCGUAA